GAUGAACGCUGGCGGCGUGCCUAAUACAUGCAAGUCGAGCGAACAGACGAGGAGCUUGCUCCUCUGACGUUAGCGGCGGACGGGUGAGUAACACGUGGAUAACCUACCUAUAAGACUGGGAUAACUUCGGGAAACCGGAGCUAAUACCGGAUAAUAUAUUGAACCGCAUGGUUCAAUAGUGAAAGACGGUUUUGCUGUCACUUAUAGAUGGAUCCGCGCCGCAUUAGCUAGUUGGUAAGGUAACGGCUUACCAAGGCAACGAUGCGUAGCCGACCUGAGAGGGUGAUCGGCCACACUGGAACUGAGACACGGUCCAGACUCCUACGGGAGGCAGCAGUUGGGAAUCUUCCGCAAUGGGCGAAAGCUUGACGGAGCAACGCCGCGUGAGUGAUGAAGGUCUUCGGAUCGUAAAACUCUGUUAUUAGGGAAGAACAAAUGUGUAAGUAACUAUGCACGUCUUGACGGUACCUAAUCAGAAAGCCACGGCUAACUACGUG
rnacentral:rRNA from 1 species